UAUAUGUGCUGUCUCUCCACCCUGAUUUCCAUUUAAAAGAUAACUUAGCAACCAGACUGAACCCCCACCCACCUCUGAAGCCUGUAAAGCAAUUGAGAUGCUCUGUCGCCUGCUUCAGCACUCUUCCUGGGCCCGCUCACCCCAUCAGGACGGAAGUAGGACUGAAGAUCUUCUAAACAGACACUGAUACUGUGACCUACCUCCUGCCAUCAGAUUAUUGAGACAAUGGACACUAAGAAACUGCAGUUUCCGGGGACUACCCAGGAAGGCCGAGGCUGAGGAGAAAUGGACGCUCAGGAGACUGAAAAUGUGUGCCCAAUAAGUUAGAACAGAGGCAGAACUGAAAUUCCAAGCCAGGUGUGCCCUACAGCUUACUCUCAAGACACAGAGAAAGUCACACUGUGUGGAGGGAUUCUGAAGACGCCUGCCCGUCAAUUAGGACAAGGGAACACACUUCUUGGAAGAGGUCUCACUGUAACUUGCCACUUGAAUGACAGGUGGUGGAUUCGAGAAGCUAGGGUAGUUAUGGCUUAUCACGGCUGUCAAGUUGACUGGAUCUGGAAUAUGCUAAAAGGCCAACACCUUGUGCACUCCUGAGAGGACUUUUCUUCAUCAGAUUGUUUGAAACGGGAAGGUCCGCACCUAAAGUGAACAGCGUCUCGCGGUGGCAACCCAGAAGGGAAGGCGGUGGGAGACCUGCUUAGUGCUGCUUGCCCUCACACUCUCUGGAAGAUUCAUCUACCACCUGCUGCUGGGCUGCUGCUGCUACAUUCCUUCUCAGAUCCCGGGACCCAGCUCCAGUUUCCCACGUGUGGACCCCCAGGCCUUCAGUGCCAGGCAGGGCACCCAGCUUCAUGGACUGUGUAACUACAGGGUUCUCAGUCUCUGGUGUGGUGCAGUCCUUGAUGGACUACCCAGUCCAAUCUAGCAAGUCUCCUUUCGUUAUAUAUCCAUUCUAUCAGUCGUGCUCUUCUCAAGAGCACGACUAACACAAGAGGCGACUCCGCACCUACUGACCAAGCCAUUGAUGCAAAGACUCCGUUGCAUCGUUUCCUGCAACAGCCAAGCAUGUGUACGACAUAAGCAUCCACUUCUAGCCCACCCACCUGAGAAAUAUUGGGUUGUAAAGCUAGCGUGAUGGGAGAUCUUAAUUGUAUUGGUAGAAAGGACAUACAUACACACGUGCACAAAUGCACACAUAAAGACAGACUGACAUGCACACACACACACACAUACUCAUAAACACACACAUGUACACAUACACGUACACAUACUCUCAGCUAUUAUUUCUCCAUCCAUUUAUCAUCUGUCAUGCAGCCUCUGUCUUUUCUUCAAUAAGUCAGAAAGGUUGUAAAGAUGUUUCUGAGAACGCCACAGGAAAUCCAAGGUUUCACAAGGGUCAGGUGUCUACCACACAUACUUUUCAAUUCUCAUUUUUUAUUUAAAUGCAUCUUCCUUGUAGAUGCUGUCAGAAAACGGGCAACUUAAAUAAACAAGUAUUUCCA